AGACACCGGUGAGAAGGGGUGGGAGUGGCACGUGUGUCAUUGACCCCUCGCAGAAACAGCUCGAUCCAUCCUUGCUCGUCCAACUCCCCUCGGUUCCCUCUCUCUCGUUCGCGCUGCUCUGCUGAUCCUCAAUGCUUGCUAACCUUAAACCUGUCUGCUUUGCAAAUGACUCAUACUUCUGUAAUCUCGACCUGCCUGACGGAUGCCGGCGAGUGUCGCUAUCUCAGAGAGAAGCAAGAGUUCUCUGGUCUUCCACGCACUCAAUCUGCAGCUCACAGUAGAGCUUGCGCGACAGUUUCUUGGAAACCGUGAAAACACUUAGCCGGUGUAGCCGUGAUAAAAUCGUCGACUUGCGUCACAUACUUCAGGUGGUGUCUGUUCGACAUGCUCCUCUUCGAGUUCCUCGCUGCCGUCCUCCAAAGAAUCGAUCACCUCAAACUCGGAAACGCCGUAGACUUCAAACAGCGAUAUGGGACAAUAAUAUUCUGUGCCGUAGUGCGAUAAAAUUUCCACCUGUGAUAGUAAUAGAAAUAAAGUACAUAGUAAAGAAAGCAAUGUGAAAAGCAGGCAACAAAUGGUGUUCACUGUUCAGAGUCAUAUCGUCCAAGUUUGUCAGAAUUAUGCAAGUACCAGCGAGUACCAUAACAAGUUUUGAUGAAUUUGAAGGUAAUACUUUCCGAGAAACCACAUGAUCUUCCGCCCAUUCAUCCUUUAAUUGUGCACAAGUCUAGUGAGUCUAUUAUCGCUUAUUUCGACGAGGCUAGUAGCUAUAAAAUAGUUUUUUUACGAAAUUGGUACGGUAUGGUUUAAAAAGCCAGUUUCCUUGUUAUCUGUACUUAUUCUUCUUGCUCAAGCUAGUAAACACGAAAUGUGAGUUGUUGGUGGGAACGUAGCUAGAGUAGUCAGUUGAUGGAGGCACGUGGCUCUGAAUAAAGGACAUGAUAUCUCACUUGUGAUAUGCAAUCUUUAAUCUUGUAAAGUAAUUGCUACCAGAUUUACGUUAGAUAUUAGUCCCAAAGUCCAAUAAGCGAAUCCUGAAUCUGUGAGCGUAGACAAACCUGCAAAUUAUAAAUCUAUUUCAACUUGUGUCAAUCUGUGCCAAAUUGUAUCAAUCUUUGUCUACCAGCUCCUUGAAUAAAGUUAUUAAACUGGAA